rnacentral:lncRNA from 1 species
UGCUUGUUCUUUGAAGUUUUCAACAGACACUUGUCAUUCAUACAUUUUUGAGAAGUACUCUUCUACCUGGUUUAAUAUAAAAAAAGUAAAAUCACAAAAAUACAGAAAUCCGAGGAAAACUCAAAACGAAAAGUCCCUAAACAAAUCGCAAAAUCAAAUGAUAAAACACACGUAACGAAUGGAAAACAAAUGUCAUAUUGCUGACUUGGUACAGGCAUUUUCAAAUGUGGAUUGAACCUUGUUUAAUAG